rnacentral:tRNA from 1 species
UUUUUCGUGGUGCAACGGUUAAGACGUCGAUCUGUAGAUUCCGGGUUCCGUGGUUCGAUUCCAGACUAGGAAA